AUAUCUCUCCGUACGGGAAGGAUGAGAAGCUUCGACUAAGGUUCGAUUCGAGCGCAGCGAGAACGCGUUGCCGCAGGCAACGACCCGAAGGGCGAAGCGCGCAGCGCUGAGUCAUCCUUCCCCACCACCA
rnacentral:sRNA from 1 species